GGAAUUUUAUUCUUACAAUAGCCUCCGCCACAUUGAAUUUUUGUAUGCAAUGGGUGAAUCUGUGUAGGUAUCAUAUUGUUGUGAAUUUUAUCAUACAUUGCAAAUAUUUUGAUCAUGCCCUUGAAGAAUGAGAAUCCGUUUAUGAACUAAAUUUUAAGCUAAAUGUCUUGUAUUCUGAAAAUGAUGUCAUGCAGCUAAGAAUUUAGGGACUGAAAAUAUCAGAUUCUUGUGUUUAUUUUCUUUGGUUGCCAGACUGCAGAUCACACUAAAUGCGUUGGCGCAUUUCACAAGAAGCAGGAUUUUAUUGAUGUUGUAGAGUUACCUUGCCUUGCAGUGUCAACAAUAUCCAGAAGAUCUUUUCCUUUCACCAGUCCUUUGUAGAGUUAAUCGCCAUAUAUAGUGGGGCCAUGAAAGGCAAGCUGAUAGUGAGUUGCCCUCUGCCACCAGAGCAAAUACCGAAGUAUCAAUUGUUAUACAAGGAUGUAUAAAAGAAAGGCUAGCAGCAGCACCGAAAACAACUAACAAACCCUCCUGAGAACAGAACUCACAUUUGGCAGAUUGCCAAAAAGAGAAUAGGGGGCUGGAGUUACACUAAUACCCCAUUUAGCUAAGGCAUUGGAAGCUUUGUUGAAGUUGCUGUGAAUCCAACAGAAUACAGAAUUCAGAAGAGCAUCUAGCUGACCUGAAUAAAUUAACUAUAUGGUGUACAGCUUCCAGGUGAAAUCAGAAAUAAUUGAUGAAGCUUUUGACUUGAUAUUAAGUAAUAAAGUCAUCCUAAAAAAGUCACUACCAAUCUUAGAACCAAACUUAAAAAAAAAAAA